CCUACGGGAGACAGCAGUGGGGAAUAUUGGACAAUGGGGGGAACCCUGAUCCAGCGACGCCGCGUGAGUGAAGAAGUAUUUCGGUAUGUAAAGCUCUAUCAGCAGGGAAGAAAGAAAUGACGGUACCUGACUAAGAAGCCCCGGCUAACUACGUGCCAGCAGCCGCGGUACUACGUAGGGGGCAAGCGUUAUCCGGAUUUACUGGGUGUAAAGGGAGCGUAGACGGCGAUGCAAGUCUGAAGUGAAAGGCGGGGGCCCAACCCCCGGACUGCUUUGGAAACUGUAUGGCUGGAGUGCAGGAGAGGGAAGUGGAAUUCCUAGUGUAGCGGUGAAAUGCGUAGAUAUUAGGAGGAACACCAGUGGCGAAGGCGGCUUACUGGACUGUAACUGACGUUGAGGCUCGAAAGCGUGGGGAGCAAACAGGAUUAGAUACCCUAGUAGUC
rnacentral:rRNA from 1 species